UGCAAGAUGGCUGAAGUAUAGGCGGUGGGUUGUAAUUCCACUUAUGGGGUUUGUUUUACCCUUCUUUGCA
rnacentral:tRNA from 1 species